rnacentral:tRNA from 1 species
GGGGAUUUAGCUCAAUGGUACAGAGUUCUUGCCUAGCAUGCACAUGAGACCCUGGGUUCAAUUCCCAGAACCUCCU